rnacentral:rRNA from 1 species
GACGAACGCUGGCGGCGUGCCUAAUACAUGCAAGUAGAACGCUGAAGGAGGAGCUUGCUUCUCUGGAUGAGUUGCGAACGGGUGAGUAACGCGUAGGUAACCUGCCUGGUAGCGGGGGAUAACUAUUGGAAACGAUAGCUAAUACCGCAUAAUAGUAGAUGUUGCAUGACAUUUGCUUAAAAGGUGCAAUUGCAUCACUACCAGAUGGACCUGCGUUGUAUUAGCUAGUUGGUGGGGUAACGGCUCACCAAGGCGACGAUACAUAGCCGACCUGAGAGGGUGAUCGGCCACACUGGGACUGAGACACGGCCCAGACCCCUACGGGAGGCAGCAGUAGGGAAUCUUCGGCAAUGGACGGAAGUCUGACCGAGCAACGCCGCGUGAGUGAAGAAGGUUUUCGGAUCGUAAAGCUCUGUUGUAAGAGAAGAACGAGUGUGAGAGUGGAAAGUUCACACUGUGACGGUAUCUUACCAGAAAGGGACGGCUAACUACGUG